CCACCGCUAUCAAGUUCCGACUAAGCCAUGCGAGUCAAGGUAUCGUAAGAUGCCGGCAAACUGCUCAGUAACACGUGGAUAAUCUAACCUUGAGUAAGGGAUAACCUCGGGAAACUGAGGAUAAUACCUUAUAAUUGCUUAAAACUGGAAUGUUUAAGCAAUAAAAGUUCCGACGCUCAAGGAUGAGUCUGCGACCUAUCAGGUAGUAGGUGGUGUAAUGGACCACCUAGCCUCAGACGGGUACGGGCCCUGGGAGGGGUAGCCCGGAGAUGGACUCUGAGACAUCAGUCCAGGCCCUACGGGGCGCAGCAGGCGCGAACACUGUGCAAUGCGCGAAAGCGCGACACGGGGAGCUUGAGUGUCUUGGCAUAGCCAAGACUUUUCUCAUUCCUAAAAAGCAUGAGGAAUAAGUGCUGGGUAAGACGGGUGCCAGCCGCCGCGGUAACACCCGCAGCACAAGUGGUGGUCACUUUUAUUGAGCCUAAAGCGUUCGUAGCCGGUUUUGUAAAUCUUUAGAUA
rnacentral:rRNA from 1 species